GACGUAGGGCGCGAGCGUUGUCCGGAAUUAUUGGGCGUAAAGAGCUCGUAGGCAGCCUGUCGCGUCGACUGUGAAAACCCGCAGCUCAACUGCGGGACUGCAGUCGAUACGGGCAGGCUAGAGUUCGGUAGGGGAGACUGGAAUUCCUGGUGUAGCGGUGAAAUGCGCAGAUAUCAGGAGGAACACCGGUGGCGAAGGCGGGUCUCUGGGCCGAUACUGACGCUGAGGAGCGAAAGCGUGGGGAGCGAACAGG
rnacentral:rRNA from 1 species